UACGAAGGGGGCUAGCGUUGCUCGGAAUCACUGGGCGUAAAGCGCACGUAGGCGGACUCUUAAGUCGGGGGUGAAAGCCCAGGGCUCAACCCUGGAACUGCCUUCGAUACUGGGAGUCUUGAGUAUGGUAGAGGUUGGUGGAACUGCGAGUGUAGAGGUGAAAUUCGUAGAUAUUCGCAAGAACACCAGUGGCGAAGGCGGCCAACUGGACCAUUACUGACGCUGAGGUGCGAAAGCGUGGGGAGCAAACAGG
rnacentral:rRNA from 1 species